rnacentral:rRNA from 1 species
GCCUGCAGCAAUUCUUGUAGGUAAGGCCUGCCCAAUGAUAAAUUUAAUGGCCGCAGUAUUUUGACUGUGCAAAGGUAGCAUAAUCAUUUGUCUCUUAAUUAGAGGCUUGUAUGAAUGGCUAAACGUAGAAUAGCUGUGUCACGGCACUCUUUAAACUUAAUAUUUAAGUCAAAAAGCUUAAAUAUACUAGCAGGACGAGAAGACCCCAUAGAUCUUUAUAUUGAAAUUUAAUUAAUCGUUAGACGUUGCUCCUAUUUAGAUAAUAAAUAUUUGGUUGGGGUGACAUGAAGUCAUAAACACUUCCGUACUCUACAAUAAUAGUAGGUCCUAUGAUCCGGAUUUACCGAUUAAAAAUUAAGUUACCUUGGGGAUAACAGCGUAAUCUACCUUUAGAGUUCUUAUCAAAUGGUAGGUUUGCGACCUCGAUGUUGGAUUAAGAGUCUCCCCAUGAGCAGCCCUAUGGCGGAGGGGUCUGUUCGACCUUUAAAUUCUUACAUGAUCU